GAGCCUGGACAAAAAGAAGAUAAAACACUAGUGAAGAGGAAUGAUUUCCUGAUUAUCAUUCAGAAGUAGUGAAGAGGCAAGAGUGAAGAUAAAGACUUGUGCAAAGAGAGCAUAAUUUUGAGAAAAUGCUAUUACUCAUCUUACUUCAACAAUGGUGUGGGAGGAUUAAACCCUUCCCUGAAGAGGGUUAUACGACACCCAGAAUAGAUGCUGUCAGGAAGUAAACAUCACCAGUGUGAGUAGAUAUACCUGUUUGCGCCUGUUGAAAAAGCCUCUCUGAUAAGUGUGCUGCUUUAAAGGAAAAGGAUAUAUGU
rnacentral:lncRNA from 1 species